AACGAACGCUGGCGGCGCGCCUAAUACAUGCAAGUCGAGCGAGAAGACGUAGCAAUACGUUUGUAAAGCGGCGAACGGGUGAGGAAUACAUGGGUAACCUACCCUCGAGUGGGGAAUAACUAGCCGAAAGGUUAGCUAAUACCGCGUACGCUCCUUGGACUUCGGUUCAGGGAGGAAAGCGAUACCGUGGGUAUCGCGCUCUUGGAUGGGCUCAUGUCCUAUCAGCUUGUUGGUGAGGUAACGGCUCACCAAGGCUUCGACGGGUAGCUGGUCUGAGAGGACGAUCAGCCACACUGGCACUGCGACACGGGCCAGACUCCUACGGGAGGCAGCAGUAAGGAAUAUUGCGCAAUGGGCGAAAGCCUGACGCAGCGACGCCGCGUGGGGGAUGAAGGUCUUCGGAUUG
rnacentral:rRNA from 1 species